UACGUAGGGGGCAAGCGUUGUCCGGAAUUAUUGGGCGUAAAGCGCGUGUAGGCGGCCAGAUAAGUCCGCUGUGAAAUCUCGAGGCUCAACUUCGAGCUGUCGGUGGAAACUGUCUGGCUAGAGUCCGGAAGAGGAGAAUGGAAUUCCUGGUGUAGCGGUGAAAUGCGCAGAUAUCAGGAAGAACACCCGUGGCGAAGGCGGUUCUCUGGGACGGUACUGACGCUGAGACGCGAAAGCGUGGGGAGCAAACGGG
rnacentral:rRNA from 1 species